rnacentral:lncRNA from 1 species
UAAAUUUAUCUGGGAACAACUAUAUGAUGCUGGCCCCAAACAUGAUUUUCAACCUGUUUUUCAUAUGUAUUCAUGAACUCUUUGAUGAGUAUAUGCCUAAUUUUAAAUGUUCUUUAAUCUUGGAUUUCAUGAUGUCACCCAACACAGUAAAAGUAGAUUCUUGCGUUCAUGAGUUCUCACAUAAUGCUUGACUGAUAAAAUGUUCAAUAAGUGAAUGAAUAAAUGUUCUAACCUAAGUAUCACAAACUUAUGAAGUCUCUCUAGUAAGAGGCCUUCAAACACUAUUGAGCUUAGGCAUAUAAUGAAGUUACAUGUCAGUGGACUGUAUUUAUGUUCUUCAGUCAAGAUGACAUGCAGUUUACUGUAUCAGGAGGGGAAAAACCCUGUGACAAGACUUUGUUUCAGCACAUUACGAUAAUCCCAGCUAAUCAAGGUACAUCAUCAAUUUCAAAGUCGUUCCCACAAGCUAAAAGCUCCAAAUGGAAAAAUCUCCUCCAUUACUAAACGAAAAAGCACAAAUCACAACCUCGCUCAGUAUUCUUGUCACUCAGCAGUCAUUUUGGAGGGAGAAAAAUAAAGAACCCAUUCAAGUCGAGACUUUCUAUGUUUUCCCCACCUCCUGUAUGCUGCAACUGCUUUGUGAGAAAUUACGUGGGGGAGGGGGGAAGCAAAAAAAGCAGUUUGCAAAUAGCUUUCAAAUCCAGAGUGCUCUCCUGAGGAUAGGAUCCUAAUAGGAUAGAGAUGAGGCUAAGUUGCUGGAUGCUGCUGCCCAUUACUCUUUUGUUCC